rnacentral:rRNA from 1 species
CGUGUAGGCGGUCGGGUAAGUCAGAUGUGAAAGCCUUCUGCUUAACAGAAGAAGUGCAUUUGAAACUGCUCGGCUAGAGUACGGGAGAGGAGAGUGGAAUUCCCGGUGUAGAGGUGAAAUUCGUAGAUAUCGGGAGGAACACCGGUGGCGAAGGCGGCUCUCUGGUCCGAUACUGACGCUGAGACGCGAAAGCGUGGGGAGCAAACAGGAUUAGAUACCCUGGUAGUCCACGCCGUAAACGAUGGGCACUAGGUGUAGGAGGUAUUGACCCCUUCUGUGCCGAAGCUAACGCAUUAAGUGCCCCGCCUGGGGAGUACGGCCGCAAGGCUAAA